rnacentral:rRNA from 1 species
AGCAGCCGCGGUAAUUCCAGCUCCAAUAGCGUAUAUUAAAGUUGCUGCAGUUAAAAGCUCGUAGUUGAAUUUCGGGACCAAUAUGUCGGUCGUGCCUCGGUACGUACUGGCUUAUUGGUUUCUCCCUUCUGACGAACCAUGAUGUCAUUAAUUUGGCGUCAUGGGAAAUCAGGACUGUUACUUUGAAAAAUUGAGUGUUUAAAGCAGGCUCACGCUUGAAUACAUUAGCAUGGAAUAAUGAAAUAGGACGUUUGAUUCUAUUUUGUUGGUUUCUAGGAUCGACGUAAUGAUUAAUAGGGAUAGUUGGGGGCAUUAGUAUUCAAUUGUCAGAGGUGAAAUUCUUGGAUUUAUUGAAGACUAACUACUGCGAAAGCAUUUGCCAAGGAUGUUUUCA